rnacentral:lncRNA from 1 species
AUGCUGAAGAACACAGAAGAAUGCCUUCAGAUAAGGAGAGACAGAGCUUCCUAUGACAGCAGGAAGGCUGAUUUUGUGCAGCGGGCUUUCCUUCAGAAGUGGCACGUGAGCUCUGCCUCUCCUGUCCUGCCGGUGCACCUUCUGUCCUACAUGACCAAGAUCCUACCCUGGGACGGAGCUGGAAGAUCCAAGCAAGAAGCCAGACUGACAGUUCUCCUGUGACUGUUUACUUCAAGUGAAACUGGAAGGAUCUGUUGGAAAUUCCCUGAAGGCUCAACAGCACAAGAACAUGACAUACCCCUGGCGGGUAUUUAUGUGUGU